rnacentral:tRNA from 1 species
AGGGUUGUGGCUCAGUGGUAGAGCACUUGCCUAGCAUGCAUGAGGUACUAGGUUCAAUCCCUGGCACCACAU